GCCUCUGUAGCUCUGUUGGUUAGAGUGCUGCACUGGAAUUGCAGAGCCGUAGGUUCAAUUCGUACCAGAGGGC
rnacentral:tRNA from 1 species